rnacentral:rRNA from 1 species
GCUUAACACAUGCAAGUCGAGCGGUAAGGCCCUUCGGGGUACACGAGCGGCGAACGGGUGAGUAACACGUGGGUGAUCUGCCUCGCACUUCGGGAUAAGCCUGGGAAACUGGGUCUAAUACCGGAUAUGACUUGCUGUCGCAUGGCGGUGGGUGGAAAGAUUUAUCGGUGCGAGAUGGGCCCGCGGCCUAUCAGCUUGUUGGUGGGGUAAUGGCCUACCAAGGCGACGACGGGUAGCCGACCUGAGAGGGUGACCGGCCACACUGGGACUGAGACACGGCCCAGACUCCUACGGGAGGCAGCAGUGGGGAAUAUUGCACAAUGGGCGAAAGCCUGAUGCAGCGACGCCGCGUGAGGGAUGACGGCCUUCGGGUUGUAAACCUCUUUCGACAGGGACGAAGCGUAAGUGACGGUACCUGUAGAAGAAGCACCGGCCAACUACGUGCCAGCAGCCGCGGUAAUACGUAGGGUGCGAGCGUUGUCCGGAAUUACUGGGCGUAAAGAGCUUGUAGGCGGUUUGUCGCGUCGUCUGUGAAAACUCACAGCUCAACUGUGAGCUUGCAGGCGAUACGGGCAGACUUGAGUACUUCAGGGGAGACUGGAAUUC